AGAGUGAACGCUGGCGGUAGGCCUAACACAUGCAAGUCGAACGGCAGCACGGUAAGAGCUUGCUCUUAUGGGUGGCGAGUGGCGGACGGGUGAGGAAUACAUCGGAAUCUACCUUUUGGUGGGGGAUAACGUAGGGAAACUUACGCUAAUACCGCAUACGCCCUUCGGGGGAAAGCCGGGGACCAGCAAUGGCCUGGCGCUGAUAGAUGAGCCGAUGUCGGAUUAGCUAGUUGGUGAGGUAAUGGCUCACCAAGGCGACGAUCCGUAGCUGGUCUGAGAGGAUGAUCAGCCACACUGGAACUGAGACACGGUCCAGACU
rnacentral:rRNA from 1 species